AUGUCGGACCUGGACACCCUCAUCGUGACCUUUCAGACCCAGCUGUCGGAUGUAAUGGAGACCGUAACAAAGACAGCCAUGUACGAGGUCACGAGGUUGGUUGAGGAGGGCUUCUUGGAGGAGAUGCAGCGCAGGAACCAGGAGCUGGAGUCCCUGAGGAUGCAGCUGCGACGGGCUGAGACGAAACUAAGUGACCAAGUGGGGAAAGACGCAAGAACAACCGGGAGGUGCGUUGGGUGUUCAAAGGGUGAUGUGCCACUGCGCGGUGGUGAUCCUGCAGAAGGAAGCCCCACAGAACAGCCAGCUGAUAUCUUCAGGGCCUGCGUGAUCAAAGAAGAAGGUGACUCUAUGGAAAGGUGGUCAAUGUGCUGCGCACAGGAAGUCAUACCAGAGUCGGAAGACAAUCCUACAUGCACUUUUAGUCCUGAGAGGAAGCGUCUGGUGGGUCACAGUACUGUCUGAUUGGAGUUUAAGUCAUUGUUAUGCACAUCCUCUCUGGCAGGACAAUUCCUCUCAGAGUAGACAACUAACAAAACAAAUGUUAUUCUCUGAUAUGUUCUCUGUGCUGCAGACCGAAGAGGAGGAUGCGUUGCCGGCGGUGGAUGUGAAGGAUGAAGAUGCAAAUAAGCUGUCUGGUUUUUCUGUGCAUUGGAGGGCUCCUCUUGAUUGUGAGUAUUGUGCACUGGCCAUUGUUUUCAAGUUUGAACAUCUAAAUGACAUAUAUUUAUAUAUGAUAUAAGAUAAUAUCUUAAACACUUGAGGAAUAUCAGUACUACUACUAUUAAAAUAAAUAACAAUGGGACUGAAAAGAAACUGUAUUUGUAGUUUUAAAAUGUUUGACAAA
ensembl:lncRNA